AUCUUUGGUUAUCUAGCUGUAUGAGUGCCGUAUUUUCUUCAUAAAGCUAGAUAACCGAAAGU
rnacentral:pre_miRNA from 12 species